AAAUAUUCUGUAGAAAAAAUAAGGGUUCGAGAAAAGAGAGCGGCUACGUCAAAGACAAUCGUGGCUCUUUCUACUGUGCAGCGAAUGUACCGGCGACUUUGACAUGCCCUCAGCCCUAGCUAGUCGCCAGCAUAUCAAGUUCCAGAUUUGCUGACACCAUGGUUUUCACAAUUAAUACACCGGUAUAAACAAAUAUCUGGUCAACAGAUCAAAAAAAACAAGAGUAGCUUCAUCAUGAAAUCAAAAUCCAACAAAGUUCUAUUUGUCUGUAUUUGAUUCUGGAGCAAAGCAUCAAUGGAUUGGAUGAAUUAAUUUGAGUUACCCCUUUGCAAAAGGCGGUGAUAAUUUUAAGAAAAUUUCAAAUGUUUGUAUGGACAUCAAGGAAAAUCUAUGGUGCAACCUAAGAACCUCUUGUUAUCUUUUGGGACAUUACAUGAAGGCUAAGUACCUCGAUAAUCAACAUUAGAAAGUCAUAUGUGAAGUUAAGUCAUUGGCGGAGAAACAUAGUUACUACCCCAACAAUGAAGGGCAUAUCUCUAUAAAGCUAGACAUUGUUCUUACUA